rnacentral:rRNA from 1 species
UACGUAGGUGGCAAGCGUUGUCCGGAUUUACUGGGCGUAAAGGGCGUGCAGGCGGUUUGUUAAGGUCCGGGUGAAAGCUCCCGGCUCAACUGGGAGAGGUCCUUGGAUACUGGCAGACUUGAGGAGGGUAGAGGAGAGUGGAAUUCCCGGUGUAGUGGUGAUAUGCGUAGAUAUCGGGAGGAACACCAGUGGCGAAGGCGGCUCUCUGGGCCCUACCUGACGCUGAGACGCGAAAGCGUGGGGAGCGAACCGG